rnacentral:piRNA from 1 species
UGUGAAAUGGGCCAUUGCAAAAAGGA